AAACAAAAAACAAAAACAUGAUACUGUUUAGUUGUGAUGAACAGUAACCACUUACCUCAACUUUGAUGGGUUUUUUUUCUCAGCUAUUUAUUCUGCACAGAGCGUUUCUGGUGUGGCUUAUGCAAAAGAGAAUUGCAACAACACAGCAUGUUUCUCUUCUCCCUUUCACACAGUAAGUAUGUCUGUUGUAGACUGCGCUUUAUAAAUGUCUCUUUGAUUAUUCAAUCGGUCUUUGAAAACUUUAUCGUCAUCACCAGCAUGCUUUGUACCUCAGGCUCAUCCGAGACAAUCGUAUCCAGUGGUGUGGUGGCCAUGGAUUGAGCCAGCCCUGCAAACCCUGUGGAUGGACGAUGCAGUGGACAGUGGGAGGAAGCAUCCUGAAGCUCUCUUUGCAGACCACUGUGUGUGAUUCUCCACUCGCCGACCAGAAAAGACAAACGGCAGGUCUCAGUUGCAGCACCUCAUCCAUCCAUGUCUGAUCCUGCAUCGGCAGAUUCAGCAACACAGCCAGAGACUUCCUGUAAUCUAUUACA